rnacentral:rRNA from 1 species
GACGAACGCUGGCGGCGUGCCUAACACAUGCAAGUCGAACGGUAAAGAUUGGUGCUUGCCCCCUUUUCGAGAGCCGCGCGGGGGUGUGUAACGUGUGGGGCAUCCGCCUUUGUGUGGGGGAAAACCUAUGGAAACGGGUGCUUAUACCGCAUAAUCACUUUAAGCAUAAGGUGGGUGUUUGAAAGACGCCGUUGCAUCACUCACUCACGGUUCCGCGUUGUGUUAGGUAGUUGGUGAGGUAAAGGCUCACCCAGGCGAGGAUACAGAGCCGACCUGAGAGGGUGGUCGGCCACACUGGGACUGGGACACGGCCCAAACUGCCACGGGGAGCAGCAGGAGGGAAUCGUCGGCAAUGGGCGGAAGUCUUACCGAACAACGCCGCGGGAGUGAAGAAGGGCUUCGGGUCGUAAAACUCGGUUGGUAGGGAAGAACGUGGGUGAGAGUGGAACGCUCAUUAAGUGACGGUAACUGCCCAGGAAGCAACGGCUAACUACGUG